rnacentral:sRNA from 1 species
UGGGUAGUAGUAAUAGCAACUGAACUAGAAGACAGGCUGCAAGGAGCUCGUCAUGGCACAGAUGGAGGCCAGGCCUGGGUGCAGGGAGGGGCCUGCUAAUGUGGGUUCCGAGGCUUUAGUUAGGAAGAUGGGGAUUUAUCUGUACACAAAAAAUGGAUUGUCUGGGUUUUGGUGUUUUUCCUUUCUAAUCCAUCUCCACUGAGGAGGGCAGUAUAUUUUCCACACUUCGUUUUCUAGGUGAAAAGGAGAACAGCUUGAAGACAGAUGAUUAUGGCCGAGACCUGUCUUCUGUGCAGACGCUCCUCACCAAACAGGAAACUUUUGACGCUGGGCUGCAGGCCUUCCAGCAGGAAGGCAUUGCCAACAUCACUGCCCUCAAAGAUCAGCUUCUCGCCGCCAAA